rnacentral:rRNA from 1 species
AUUGAACGCUGGCGGCAGGCCUAACACAUGCAAGUCGAACGAGUGGCGGACGGGUGAAUAAUGUCUGAGAAACUGCCUAAUGUAGGGGGAUAACUAGUGGAAACGGUAGCUAAAACCGCAUACCAUGCGAUGUGCCCAGCUGGGAUUAGCUAGUUGGUGUGGUAACGGCUCACCAAGGCGACGCGCCCUAGCUGGCCUGAGAGGCAGACCGGCCACACGGGAACUGAGACACGGCCCAGACUCCUACGGGAGGCAGCAGUGGGGAAUAUUGGACAAUGGGCGAAAGCCUGAUGCAGCAAUGCCGCGUGUAUGAAGAAGGUUUUCGGGUCGUAAAGCACUUUCAGCGGGGAGGCGUUAUCUGCCCAAGAAGCACCGGCUAACUCCGUGCCAGCAGCCGCGGUAAUAC